GGGGUUGUGGUUCAGUGGUAGAGCACUCGCUUAGCAUGCAUGAGGCACUGAGUUCAAUCCUCAGCACCA
rnacentral:tRNA from 1 species